CAUUGUGUUGCUUAAUAUACUUUAGCAUCGGUGUAGUAUUUGAUAACGUAUGUGCGCAAAGUGUAGCAACGUGUUAAUCAGGGUUUUAUUAAUGGAAAGCGCCUCGUAGCAGCCGUGGUGACUGCAGCUGCUGCUUACAACUCCCUCGUGUAGGUGUACGCCUGAUAGGGCUUGGGUGUAUAUUGAGAGCAGGGUGGUUUAUCUCAAGCUCUUCCUCUUGGAGAGAUAGCGAAGGUGUUGGUUUGUGUUGAGUGGCUUGCGUUUCCUGGAUAACGUGACUGUAAAUAGAAUGAAUAGGAUGCACAAUAAAUAUACGUGGCUUUGGUGUAGUGUAUAGUGAGUUUGUGAGUUAACUGUUAUUUGAAUUGCUGUGAAUAGUGUUCCGUGUUCGCACAAGUGCUUCAGUUUUGUUGCAGUUCGGCUGUGUUUGUGUACCUUUAUUUUGUGCUCACCAGAACGACUGUGUUGUGUGAUGCGGCUGCCGGGGAAACGUACAACCUGCACGAGGACCGGAGCUGUGACGACGAGCCAGCACCAUCGGGCGUAAGACUGACGGAGUGACCGCUGUACUGCCGCUACUGAAGGGAGAACCAAACCGUCGUGUCCUGCCAAUGCUCCCCAUCCCGCUGCUGGAGACUGCCUCGUGUCCUGCCAAUGCUCCCCAUCCCGCUGCUGGAGACUGCCUCGUGUCCUGCCAAUGCUCCCCAUCCCGCUGCUGGAGACUGCCUCGUGUCCUGCCAAUGCUCCCCAUCCCGCUGCUGGAGACUGCCUCGUGUCCUGCCAAUGCUCCCCAUCCCGCUGCUGGAGACUGCCUCGUGUCCUGCCAAUGCUCCCCAUCCCGCUGCUGGAGACUGCCUCGUGUCCUGCCAAUGCUCCCCAUCCCGCUGCUGGAGACUGCCUCGUGUCCUGUCAAUGCUCCCCAUCCCGCUGCUGGAGACUGCCUCGUGUCCUGCCAAUGCUCCCCAUCCCGCUGCUGGAGACUACCUCGUGUCCAAACCAGUGUGUCCUGUCUCGGCCAUUUCUGUCAACUCUCCAUCCUGCCUCGUGUCAAAACCAGCGUGUCCUGCCGAUACUCCAUCCUGCUGCUGGAGACUGCUUAGUCUUGCAGCACCGUGAGAUUAGACGCCUCGUCACUUCUGUCCUGCCAAGAACUACGCGCUGCCGGCCGGUGAGGGAGGACAGAUAAGCUUCACCACUGUCCUGCAAGGAUUACGCGCUGCCGGCAGGGAGAGGACAGAAAAGCUUCCUCACCACUGUCCUGCAAGGAGUACGUGCUGCCGCCCAGGGAUGUUAGGUUGGGUUGGGUUAAGGUUUACUAUAAAUCCUGUGUAUGUUUGGCAUAAGGACUUGUAAAUUAGUUGCUGUUCUACCUUGUUUAUUUUUUACCCUUUUACUUUCUCGUGUAAAUGUUUAGUCUACCUUGUCUUGCUAAUACUCUGCCAGUCUGUCCGUGCUGUGAGUGUACUGUAUCUACAUAACUGUGGCGCCACUACUCAAUAAAUUACCAGGAUGAACCAA